AUUUCUGGGUUCUCUAUUCUGUUCCGUUGAUCUGAGUGUCUGUUUUUGUGCCACUUAUUGUCUUUUUAAUAUCUGACAGACCUUGCAAUAGUUGAGGAUUUCACUUCAGCUUUACUUUUCUCAUUUGCUGAAAAUACUGUUAAAAAUUAACCUUAAGCCGGGCGCGCCUGUAGUCCCAGCUACUCGGGAGGCUGAGGCAGGAGGAUCGCUUGAGCCCAGGAGUUCUGGGCUGUAGUGCGCUAUGCUGAUCGGGUGUCCGCACUAAGUUCGGCAUCAAUAUGGUGACCUCCCGGGAGCGGGGGACCACCAGGUUGCCUAAGGAGGGGUGAACCGGCCCAGGUCGGAAACGGAGCAUAGAUUGGAAGAGCAU